ACGAGUCCACCUCGGUGCCCUACUGAACACAUUUACGUUCCUUGUUCAUUACGGAGACCUGGCAAACACAGACACAACUUAAUGGGAGGUCACCAACGCACGUGCAGAAACAUCAGUUACCAAGUAUCAUAACAAAAACCACAACAUUAUCAAUUCAUAAGAUCCCGUUGAUUUGCAGAGUGAGCAGCUUAGAAGGGAGGAAUAUUGUUUCACUCUGUAACCUAGGCAGCAUCCUUCUCUUGUUGUACAGUAAUGAUACCAUCUCCUUCUGGGAGGAGAGGACAGGCAUACCUACUCCUAGUUACAGAAGGUUCCAGCUUCCUAAACUCAGCCUUCCUCUCCUGAAACACAAGCCACUAUGUGUGCAAGUGUCACCUUGCCUCUUCACAUUACCCUUUGGAACUGGAAAGCUAGCACAGAUAUUCUGAUGCUGUAGUGAGCAAC